UACGAAGGGUGCAAGCGUUAAUCGGAAUUACUGGGCGUAAAGGGCGCGUAGGCGGCGUGGUAAGUCACUUGUGAAAUCUCUGAGCUUAACUCAGAACGGUCAAGUGAUACUGCUGUGCUAGAGUGCGGAAGGGGCAAUCGGAAUUCUUGGUGUAGCGGUGAAAUGCGUAGAUAUCAAGAGGAACACCUGAGGUGAAGACGGGUUGCUGGGCCGACACUGACGCUGAUGCGCGAAAGCCAGGGGAGCAAACGGG
rnacentral:rRNA from 1 species